rnacentral:rRNA from 1 species
GACGUAGGGCGCGAGCGUUGUCCGGAUUUAUUGGGCGUAAAGAGCUCGUAGGCGGCUUGUUGCGUCGACCGUGAAAACCCGCGGCUUAACUGUGGGCCUGCGGUCGAUACGGGCGGGCUGGAGUUCGGUAGGGGAGACUGGAAUUCCUGGUGUAGCGGUGAAAUGCGCAGAUAUCAGGAGGAACACCGGUGGCGAAGGCGGUUCUCUGGGACGGUACUGACGCUGAGACGCGAAAGCGUGGGGAGCGAACAGG